AACGAACGCUGGCGGCAGGCCUAACACGUGCAAGUCGAGCGAAGCCUUCGGGCUUAGCGGCGGACGGGUGAGUAACGCGUGGGAACGUGCCCUUUGGUACGGAAUAGCCCCGGGAAACUGGGAGUAAUACCGUAUGUGGUCGAGAGACGAAAGAUUUAUCGCCAAAGGAUCGGCCCGCGUUGGAUUAGGUAGUUGGUGUGGUAAUGGCCUACCAAGCCGACGAUCCAUAGCUGGUUUGAGAGGAUGAUCAGCCACACUGGGACUGAGACACGGCCCAGACUCCUACGGGAGGCAGCAGUGGGGAAUCUUAGACAAUGGGGGAAACCCUGAUCUAGCCAUGCCGCGUGAGCGAUGAAGGCCUUAGGGUUGUAAAGCUCUUUCGUGGGGGAAGAUAAUGACUGUACCCCAAGAAGAAGCCCCGGCUAACUCCGUGCCAGCCGCCGCGGUAAAAC
rnacentral:rRNA from 1 species